AGAGUUUGAUCCUGGCUCAGAUUGAACGCUGGCGGCAUGCCUUACACAUGCAAGUCGAACGGCAGCACGGGAGCAAUCCUGGUGGCGAGUGGCGAACGGGUGAGUAAUAUAUCGGAACGUGCCCAGUCGUGGGGGAUAACGCAGCGAAAGCUGUGCUAAUACCGCAUACGAUCUAUGGAUGAAAGCGGGGGAUCGCAAGACCUCGCGCGAUUGGAGCGGCCGAUAUCAGAUUAGCUAGUUGGUGGGGUAAAAGCCCACCAAGGCGACGAUCUGUAGCUGGUCUGAGAGGACGACCAGCCACACUGGAACUGAGACACGGUCCAGACUCCUACGGGAGGCAGCAGUGGGGAAUUUUGGACAAUGGGCGAAAGCCUGAUCCAGCAAUGCCGCGUGCAGGACGAAGGCCUUCGGGUUGUAAACUGCUUUUGUACGGAACGAAACGGUCUUCUCUAAUACGGGAGGCUAAUGACGGUACCGUAAGAAUAAGCACCGGCUAACUACGUGCCAGCAGCCGCGGUAAUACGUAGGGUGCAAGCGUUAAUCGGAAUUACUGGGCGUAAAGCGUGCGCAGGCGGUUAUAUAAGACAGAUGUGAAAUCCCCGGGCUCAACCUGGGACCUGCAUUUGUGACUGUAUAGCUAGAGUACGGUAGAGGGGGAUGGAAUUCCGCGUGUAGCAGUGAAAUGCGUAGAUAUGCGGAGGAACACCGAUGGCGAAGGCAAUCCCCUGGACCUGUACUGACGCUCAUGCACGAAAGCGUGGGGAGCAAACAGGAUUAGAUACCCUGGUAGUCCACGCCCUAAACGAUGUCAACUGGUUGUUGGGUCUUCACUGACUCAGUAACGAAGCUAACGCGUGAAGUUGACCGCCUGGGGAGUACGGCCGCAAGGUUGAGACUCAAAGGAAUUGACGGGGACCCGCACAAGCGGUGGAUGACGUGGUUUAAUUCGAUGCAACGCGAAAAACCUUACCCACCUUUGACAUGUACGGAAUUUACCAGAGAUGGUUUAGUGCUCGAAAGAGAACCGUAACACAGGUGCUGCAUGGCUGUCGUCAGCUCGUGUCGUGAGAUGUUGGGUUAAGUCCCGCAACGAGCGCAACCCUUGUCAUUAGUUGCUACAUUUAGUUGGGCACUCUAAUGAGACUGCCGGUGACAAACCGGAGGAAGGUGGGGAUGACGUCAAGUCCUCAUGGCCCUUAUAGGUGGGGCUACACACGUCAUACAAUGGCUGGUACAAAGGGUUGCCAACCCGCGAGGGGGAGCUAAUCCCACAAAGCCAGUCGUAGUCCGGAUCGUAGUCUGCAACUCGACUACGUGAAGUCGGAAUCGCUAGUAAUCGUGGAUCGGAGUGUCACGGUGAAUACGUUCCCGGGUCUUGUACACACCGCCCGUCACACCAUGGGAGCGGGUUCUGCCAGAAGUAGUUAGCCUAACCGCAAGGAGGGCGAUUACCACGGCAGGGUUCGUGACUGGGGUGAAGUCGUAACAAGGUA
rnacentral:rRNA from 1 species